rnacentral:lncRNA from 1 species
AUGAUCUUAAGUAAGCCCAUUUUGCUUCAAUUUUCUUAUCUAGAAAAUGGGGAUAAUAACACCCAUGUUAUAGAGUUAUUCUGAUGAUUUCUAAGAGUCUCAGAGACCUAGGAUCCACAAAAUCAAAACAACAAAACCAAGCCUUUGUGCACAUCUGUGGUUGUGACCAGUUGGAGAGACAUUAGGAGAUGAGAUACUAUGUUCACUCCUCACAGCUGUACCAGGGACCUGAGAUAUUCCGUCACUAUUCUAUGAGCCUGGGCUGGUGAAUGGUUCCUGCUUUCACUAUUCCAGAUGUCCAGCUCUGUACCUUGCUGCUCUCCUUAAAGCCUGCCUCCCUCUAGGGAGCUAUGGUGCAUUACUCACGAGUGACAGAACCAACGAGCUUCAUCUCCCAAGAGGCUGGUGCAUCUGUUUAAAGGAGCAGGCACUAGGCAGAGCAGCCCCCACCCCACCCUCCAUGGCAGAGUGCAGUGGGGGAAGUUUUCAUAGAAAUGCUUUCUAUAAAGCAUUUUCAUAGAGAAAGCAGGUUCAUAUAGAAAGCACUGGCUGCUGGUUGGAGUGGAGAGAUUGAAGACCCUCAUCUAGGAUCAAGCAACCCCCAGAAAACAAUUUUAAACAUGUCCAUUCAGACAAAAGGAGUCCAAAACCAUAAGAUCCUCUCAGCAUCCUGAACUAAUGUCCAGCUGUUAUCUCGGGAUGGGAUUUCACCAUGUUGUCCAAGCUGGUUUUGAACUCCUGGGGUCAAGAAAUCCACCUGCUUCGGCCUCCCACAGUGCUGGGAUUACAGAUUGUGCUUUUGGUGUUACAUCUAAGAAAUCUUUGCUUUUGAUUAUUUUAAAAAUUGAUUUUCUCAUCAAGUAAAAGAAAAUGUACUUUCAAGUUCCUUUAAGUAUAUCCACGUUGCCUAGGCAACCAAGUUAUUUAUCAAUAGGUGAUCAUUUGUAAUGAUUUGUUAAUAAAGGAAUUAGAAA